rnacentral:rRNA from 1 species
CAGUAGCCACGGGAAUACGAAGGGUGCGAGCGUUAAUCGGAAUUACUGGGCGUAAAGCGUGCGUAGGUGGUGGUUUAAGUCCGUUGUGAAAGCCCUGGGCUCAACCUGAGAAUUGCAGUGGAUACUGGGUCACUAGAGUGUGGUAGAGGAUGGUGGAAUUCCCGGUGUAGCGGUGAAAUGCGUAGAGAUCGGGAGGAACAUCAGUGGCGAAGGCGGCCAUCUGGGACAACACUGACGCUGAGGCACGAAAGCGUGGGGAGCAAACAGGAUUAGAUACCCCCGUAGUCCCUGUCUCUUAUAC